rnacentral:rRNA from 1 species
CAGCCGCCGCGGGAAUACGUAGGGUGCAAGCGUUAAUCGGAAUUACUGGGCGUAAAGCGUGCGCAGGCGGUUUGUUAAGACAGAUGUGAAAUCCCCGGGCUUAACCUGGGAACUGCGCUUGUGACUGCACAGCUAGAGUAUGGCAGAGGGGGGUGGAAUUCCACGUGUAGCAGUGAAAUGCGUAGAGAUGUGGAGGAACACCGAUGGCGAAGGCAGCCCCCUGGGCCAAUACUGACGCUCAUGCACGAAAGCGUGGGGAGCAAACAGGAUUAGAGACCCCCGUAGUCCCUGUCUCUUAUAC